rnacentral:rRNA from 1 species
CCUACGGGGGGCAGCAGUGAGGAAUAUUGGUCAAUGGACGAGAGUCUGAACCAGCCAAGUAGCGUGAAGGAUGACUGCCCUAUGGGUUGUAAACUUCUUUUAUAUGGGAAUAAAACGUUCCACGUGUGGGAUUUUGUAUGUACCAUAUGAAUAAGGAUCGGCUAACUCCGUGCCAGCAGCCGCGGUAAUACGGAGGAUCCGAGCGUUAUCCGGAUUUAUUGGGUUUAAAGGGAGCGUAGGUGGAUUUUUAAGUCAGGUGUGAAAGUUUGCGGCUCAACCGGAAAAUUGCAGUUGAAACUGGCAGUCUUGAGUACAGUAGAGGUGGGCGGAAUGCGUGGUGUAGCGGUGAAAUGCUUAGAUAUCACGAAGAACUCCGAUUGUGAAGGCAGUUCACUGGACUGCAACUGACACUGAGGCUCGAAAGUGUGGGUAUCAAACAGGAUUAGAUACCCCAGUAGUC